GUCCACGCCGUAAACGAUGGAUACUAGCUGUUGGAAGCAAUUUCAGUGGCUAAGCGAAAGUGAUAAGUAUCCCACCUGGGGAGUACGAACGCAAGUUUGAAACUCAAAGGAAUUGACGGGGGCCCGCACAAGCGGUGGAGCAUGUGGUUUAAUUCGAUGAUACGCGAGGAACCUUACCAAGGCUUAAAUGUAGUUUGACCGUUUUGGAAACAGAACUUUCGCAAGACAAAUUACAAGGUGCUGCAUGGUUGUCGU
rnacentral:rRNA from 1 species